AUAUCUUUGCUCAAUAUAGGACUGUUGGAUUCCAGUCAUUUUACCUUGGAGACAAAAAGGGAAGAUUCAAUUUGAGAAUUUAGAUGUAUCUGCUGAUAGCAUACAUUUGCUACAUUUGAAGAAAAUAUUUGAAAAAGUUGCUAAAACACCCAGCAAGAAGGAAGACCAACAUAAAGGAAAAUACAGAAAGGAAAAAAUGAGCUGGAAAAUCAGGGGAAUCUCAAAAUCCUGGACAUAGUAGGUAUCUCAACAAUUCAUUAUAUGUAUUAUUUUAGUUUGAAUAAUUAGUAAAAGAUGGCAUAUCAAUAGCUAAUUCUGGGAAGUAUCCCUUUUUCUAUAUAUCCAUUGUAACUAUGGUAAACAGUUCUCAGGUUUGACUAUGGCUUUCUCACUCAAUUGACUAUCUUAUCUCUAAGCUUUUCUUUGGAAUAUCACUCAACCUGCAUAUAGUAGCAGUUCAAAUGAAAAGAGGGUGCUAAAUCCACAAAGGAUAACAUAUCAGUGCAAGAUAAGAGUCAGUGCAUAAAUGCCCUUCUCCCAUUCUCCAGAGAGGGUAUUUGUGAAGCUAUUUCUGGAGGUGAAAGCUAUGAAGAGCCUUCUCAGACAUUAUGUGUAAUAGAGAAGCGGCGGCCCCAAACUAUUGAGUACUGACCCCUGUGAGGACAGUAGACCAAAUAGCCAGUGGGAGCCAUGCUUCCGACUGGACAAAGAGGCAGAUAGACAAUAAUGUAGGGAUCAGGGGUAGGGCAGUAGUAGUUUUGUGGUACCCCAUGCAGUACUUUACAUAGUACUUAGCUUUCUAAAAGUUUCUACCCAUUAAUAAGUAGACAUUAAGGAUUUCAGCUUUUGAAGGAAAGAUAUUGGGACUUGACAAAAAAUAUAGUAGACUUGGGGGAAAAUUGUGAGAAUUCACUGGUACACUUAUGUUCAUUUUAGGGAGGUUUUUCAGAUGCCUUUAGAUUCUGAGUAACAAAGAGACUAUGGACUCUGAAAAACAGUCUGAG
rnacentral:lncRNA from 1 species